ACUCGGCGGACCUGCAGGGCCGGCUGGAGGAGAACCGCCGCCAGCUGGCAGCGCUGGGCGCCGAGCCCGACCCGGAGGUGGCCCGCUACCUGGAGGACGAGCGGGUGGCGCUGAUGCUGCAGAACGACGAGUUCAUGGACGAGCUGCGCCGUAACCGCGACUUCAUGGACGCACUCGAUGUGGACACGCCCUCGUUUGCGGCGCCGCACUGGCAGGGAUACGAGUCGCUGGACGAGACCCAGCACGGUUCCAAGGACACCAACGCCAUCCACAAGUACC